UGCACACGCAUGGUAAUUCUAUUUUUUGUUUUUUGAGAAACUGUGUUCCACAGUGGCUGCACCAAUUUGCAUUCACACCAACAGUGUAUGAAGGUUCCCUUUUCUCUCAGAAUUGUGCUUUCUUAGUGUUUUGCUCCACCUGUGUGAAUUUAUGCCUUUUCGGUCUCACAUAAGUAGCUUGAUGUUGUUUCCUUCCCCUGUGAUCAAAAUGACAAGGCCUCUUUAUAUCUUUACAGAUCACAAAUCAAUAUAGUGAAUUAGUCUAUGAGCCCUGGUGUCAAUUGUCUGCGCUGGGCUACCAGCCCUACCACUUAUUAUGUGUGACUCUGGGCCUCAGUUUUCCAGUCUGGAAAUGGUACCAACCUCAUAGAUUAAUCAAAACAAAGUAUAUACAGCAAAGUGCUGCAGGUUUGAUAUUAUUCUUAUCUGUUUUCCUCUUUUUAAGUUAAAGGCUCUGGUAGAAGGAGACUUGCCUCUGGAUUCAUCACUUUUCUUCCCUCUAACACACAGCAAGGGCAUAAGGAUUAGGGAGCAAUACCAGGAAGUCCGCUUUGCCAAAAUAUGUGCCCACAUGAAACUGUGGGAAAGGGAGGGGAGGAGGUUGGGGAGUGAUCAUUAACCGACCAUCCUGGGAUGCAGAAGUUUCAGUGCUAAGACCUGGACAAGUCCCCAGCAACCUGGGUGGUUGGUCACCGUAAGUAGCAUGAUGGUACUAGGUGACAGCAUCUGGUAAAAUUUCCGAAGCAAGACAGAACCAGAAUCUGGAAUAUUUGAGAAGGGUUUCUAUUUCUUUAAUUGUUGCCUGUGUGCUAAGUGGCUUCAGUUGUGUUCGACUCUUUGUGACCCUGUGGACUGUAGCCUGCCAAGCUCCUCUGUCCAUGGGGUUCUCCAGGCAGGAAUACUGAAGUGGGUUGCCACGUCCUCUGCCAGGGAAUCUUCCUGAUCUAGGGAUUGAACCCAUGUCUCCUGUGGCUCCUGCACUGCAGCCAGAUUCUUUACCACUGAGCCACUGGGGAGGCUUCAUUCCUUUAAUUGCUGGGCAAAACCAUUUGGAAGUUCCUUCCACCUGAACUUAAACGUGCUGCCACUAACGAGGCCCACCUGUGCUGGGGGGUUGGGGUGGGAGAGAGAACUGCUUCUGGGAGACAGGGACAGACCCAUUCAGUAGCUCCCAGAUUCCAUGCGCGAGAGGGGGAUGAGUGUCUUGGAGUGAUGGCUGUGUGGAAUCCGCGUUUUCCAGUCCUGGCCGGUUUUCUGCUCUCGUGAAGCCUUCUUUCUUGGCGGGAAAAGGGGUCCGCAGACCGUAGUGGACGACUGAGGGGAUGAGGGUUGGUUCCCUCUUCCACCCAGGUUUAAUGGCUGCUCCAGUGACAUCUGCAUUAAUGAGGGGGAAGAGAAAAAGGAUCCCUCACUGAUGGAGAAAGAGUACCCCUGGGUAGUGAAAGCUGGCCAAAGCACAUCUACCAACCUUCUCCGUUGGACGCAGUUACCUUUUGUUUUCAAGACCUAGGGCAAGAGGGUUAAAGGCACACACCCGUGAAGUGGGGAGACUGUGGCUGGAGCCCAGGGAACCCGAGUGUACUGGCACCCUCACCACUGCUGACUGCUUGUGGCUGCAGCUCCCACUCCCUUCUAGGAAGAGAAUACCUUUUCCGUGUGACUGGAAGGCACUCCUUUGCCCUGUGUCCCUAGGAGUAGCCUGUUGAAUGUAGCCAGUUGAGUCCUUCCCGGCACUUCUCCGCCAGAGCUCUUGGGGAAGAUGAUGUACUUUUGCUGGGAUUGAUAGGGUAUAAAUGUAAGCCUGUUGGCGAAUAUCUUUUUUAUUGAAAAAUUUCUUCCACUGAAGGCAAUUUAUUGGUUCUGUUGGUGAAUAUCUUGGUCAAUAAAUGGAGAAAGUCAGACAAAUAGAGCCCUGAUGUUUGAACACCUAGAUCCAGUCAUGCCUAAAGCUAUAUGUGUGCUCCGGACAACCCAGUAACGUGAGCUAAUGAAUUCCAUUUUUCUCCACUUAAGCCAUCCCAUGUCAACUUUGGUGGCUUCUAUUAAUCAUGGCUGAGUGAUUUCUGACUCAUAUGCUGAAAAUAAGAAGUUCUUGAUCUAUGAACUCUUCCGGUCGGUGAUGGCUUAUUAGUUCUGUGUUCCUUACCAGGGCCUCCUGUUGUAAAACAGCUCGUGCGCGUGGUUACUGUGGUGUCUGGCCAUAGUAACGGUUUCAGGCGGUGCUUCCCCAACAGAAUUACUAGGUGGCUUGGGGUGUCAUCUGGCCAGGUUGCCACUGGUUAAGUCAGGCUGCCUUGCUGUCUACUGAUGAUACACUAGGAUUUGAAAUUCUCUGAGUCCCAGCCCUUGCUGGGUAUUAUUGAGAUUUUAGGAACUUGCUAAUUGACAUGUGGGGAAAACUGUCUCAUGUUUAUUUUAAUUAUGUCCUUUUUCUUGUUACCAGUAAGGAUUCUCAUUCCGCCCCCUCGCCCCUAGAAUUAAGUUAUUGUAUGUUUUUGUGAAUUGCUCAUGUCCCUCAUUCAUUUUCCAGUUGAGGUUCUUGUAUUUUUCUUACUGACUUAUGAGGACUCUGUUUACAGUGAGAUUAUUAGCCCUUUGUGGGAACUGAUACAUUUCUAAGAGCGUGGUGAAAUACCUUAAUAACGGAUCUUUUAUCAAGGUCAAGGCAGAAGUCUUGAUUCUGGUGGGAGUGGGGUAGAAUCUGAUAAUGUCCACCAGCUUCCCCACACAUAAAUCCAGAACAGAGUGUGUCUCCCUAUGUUAUAAUGUCUCAGUGCAGCCAGGCUGUACCGUUAUUUCACAGACAGUUAUCCUUAGCCCAGAGAUGGGGAAAUGGCUCAACCGGGCAGAGCUGGCUACAGACAGAGCUGAGGCUCCCCACGUGUGCUCAGAUGACCACUUUGCAUCACUUGGAACGUCUCCAUCUCUUCUCCCAGGUUUCCAGACCCUCCCUGGAGGCACUGGGGCCUAGAUGAUGUAUGUUUUUCUUUUUAUUUAUUUAUUUUUUUGAUGUAUGUUUUUAUACUAGCCACUCUACUAGAAGACAAAAUCUGUUUGAAAACCUGUGUUACGGUUUUUUCCAGAAUUGGUAACUUUUCGGAAUCCACAUGUUCCGCUUGCCCUCAGCACUUAAUGUUUGGAUUUCUCAGUCUACAGCUUCCUUUGUAUCAUGCAUUCACUGGGUCCAAAGGACCCCCCCCACCACCUGACUUGAGGCAGGGUCCCCAAGAGUGGUCCCUCCUCAUGCAUUUCUUCAGGUCACUAAGGAUGUGGACUCUCUACCUCUCUCAAAGGUUUUUUCACUUAAAUAUGUGCAUACAUUUUUUUCUUCUGCUGCUCUUUCUUCCUAAAAGAAUAAGUUAGAGGCUUCGGUUGCUAAAUUUAGCUCUUGCUGACGCACUGGCCUUCGGCAGCAGUCUCCUCCUGUCUCGCUGUUUCUCUUAGUCUCGCUUUGGGUAGACGAACACCAUCACAUCCUACAUAAUGUUUAGCUCUGAGGCGUUUCCAGAUGGGGAAGGCAUUUCUGUAUUUUCAUGUUCUCUGCGUGCAUAGACGGCUGGGAAGUGGUGGGCUGGCAGCCAGCCUGCGAGAGGCAAAGAUCCAUAGAGCAGGGAAGCAGCGCCUUGGUUGUUGGAGGUUUGCUCGUGCUGAGCAGAAGAGAAAGGUUACUUGCAGGAGAUCUGGGAUGGGAUUUGACUGGGACAUGACUGGAGAAUUUUCAGGAAGGGAAGCCCUCCUACUUGAAGCAAGCCUUAGGGUAGUUAAAGAAAAAAUUAUUUUUAUGCUUGUUAGAAUAAUAAAGAAUGUUUUAUUCAGGGGUAUUGCAGUAGGGGUACUGCAGUAUCGGGUUGAACUCUGAACACAAGGGCAGGUGGGGAUUUAGCCCCAAGCAGCAGGAUGAAGGCCUCAGUGGAUGGAAAAUUACUAAGAGGAGGCAUCCAGGGUAGCUGAUUCUUACUA